rnacentral:rRNA from 1 species
GCCCAGACUCCUACGGGAGGCAGCAGUGGGGAAUAUUGCACAAUGGGGGAAACCCUGAUGCAGCGACGCCGCGUGAGUGAAGAAGUAUUUCGGUAUGUAAAGCUCUAUCAGCAGGGAAGAAAAUGACGGUACCUGAUUAAGAAGCCCCGGCUAACUACGUGCCAGCAGCCGCGGUAAUACGUAGGGGGCAAGCGUUAUCCGGAUUUACUGGGUGUAAAGGGAGCGUAGACGGCUGUGCAAGCCAGAUGUGAAAGCCCGGGGCUCAACCCCGGGACUGCAUUUGGAACUGUGUGGCUGGAGUGUCGGAGAGGCAGGCGGAAUUCCUAGUGUAGCGGUGAAAUGCGUAGAUAUUAGGAGGAACCCCAGUGGCGAAGGCGGCCUGCUGGACGAUGACUGACGUUGAGGCUCGAAAGCGUGGGGAGCAAACAGGAUUAGAUACCCCCGUA